rnacentral:rRNA from 1 species
UACAGAGGGUGCGAGCGUUGUUCGGAAUUAUUGGGCGUAAAGGGCGCGUAGGCGGUGCGGCAAGUCACCUGUGAAAUCUCCUGGCUCAACUGGGAGCUUGCAGGCGAAACUGCCGUGCUGGAGUGUGGGAGAGGUGAGUGGAAUUGGUAGUGUAGCAGUGAGAUGCGUAGAUAUUACCAGGAACACCAAUGGCGAAGGCAGCUUGCUGGGCUUCUUCUGACACUGAGGUACGAAAGCGUGGGGAGCGAACAGG